rnacentral:tRNA from 1 species
GUUGUGGCUCGGAGGUAAAGCGCUUGCCCAGCAAGCGUGAGGCCUGGGUUUGAUCCUCAGCACCACA